GACUCGCAUUUUGCCCACGUUUUACUUUUGGAGGCCACGUUUCCCAUGUUGCCGGAUCUCAAGGUAGAUUCGCACUGAGCUACCUUAUUUGGGAAGUGCUGAUCGAGGAUAAGGAUGAAAGUAUCCAUGCUUACAAAUAUAUUGUUAAUUCAUUUUA